CCUACGGGUGGCAGCAGUGAGGAAUAUUGGUCAAUGGGCGUGCGCCUGAACCAGCCAAGUCGCGUGAGGGAAGAAUGCCCUAUGGGUUGUAAACCUCUUUUGUCAGGGAGCAACGCCGGCUACGUGUAGCCGGACUGAGAGUACCUGAAAAAAAAGCAUCGGCUAACUCCGUGCCAGCAGCCGGGGUAAUACGGAGGAUGCGAGCGUUAUCCGGAUUUAUUGGGUUUAAAGGGUGCGUAGGCGGAAUGUCAAGUCAGCGGUAAAAUUUCGGGGCUCAACCCGGUCGUGCCGUUGAAACUGGCGGUCUUGAGUUGGCGAGAAGUAUGCGGAAUGCGUGGUGUAGCGGUGAAAUGCAUAGAUAUCGCGCAGAACUCCGAUUGCGAAGGCAGCAUACCGGCGCUCAACUGACGCUCAUGCACGAAAGCGUGGGUAUCGAACAGGAUUAGAUACCCCUGUAGUC
rnacentral:rRNA from 1 species